CUGUGAAGGGGCAGCCCGCUGAAGCUUCAGGAGAGGGUCCAGUAACGAUGAAAUAGUAGAUUGUUUUAAUUCCAGGCAUAAAAAUACUCCGUACACCGAACUAGACUGUGUUGUUUCUCUGUGUCAUAUAAAAUAUCCCAGAACUGUGUUGGCUUUCUUAGCAGCUGCUGCACACUGCUGGCUCAUAUCUAAAUGGUUAUCCACUAGGACUCCAAGAUCCCUCUCACAAUGUGAAAUUUCCAGCUAACUGGACCUUGCUACUAUGUGAAGAUCCUCUAUGUGAUAGGAGGUACUCAGUGAUUACUGAUUAGAAUGAGGAUAUGCUGAUGACAGUAAUUACUACUUUAGUAGAUUCAUAUCUUCCUUCCACUGAUGUGUGUCUUUUUCAACCUGAUUCAAGUACAGAGCGUACAAUACUGUAAGUAAAUAAACUGAGGGCAAGAGCCCAGCAAGGUGUGCCAGUAAUAGGCAAAUAGAAGAAGCCUGAUUAAAAGAAUAAAAUCGUCUCAUUCUGAGAAAAAGGAAUCCAAUCCCAACUGAGAUGAAAUGAAAAAACUUCUAAAUAUUUGAUGAGAAUUGCUUUUAUAACAUUUAUUUUAUUUAUUUCUAAAAUGACAUCUUACUCAUUUUACCAUACUUGCAAUUAAUUGUUUAAAUUCCCCCUUACUCUCCUAAGAACCUCAAGUUGUGUUUGGAUCCAUGACUUCCCCACUAAACCAUUCCAUUGAUCACUGUCCCUAAUCAAAAGAAUAUUGGUUCCUCAGAACACUAACCAAUCUUAUGUGAAGAGAGAAUCUUCGAGAGCAUGUGAAAGUUUUCCAUAUUACAUUUGAAUGUUAGGAAAUCAAACAUCAAAGAUCACAGACAUUUGUUAAUAAGACAUUAUGCUGAUAGUAUCACUGAAACAGCCCAUUUCUUGUUAGCUUCCCACUUACAUCCCUGGAUUUAUUCAACACCUGGAAGGAUAUGACUGUUUAGCAUGACCAUAAUAUUUUUGUUAGCACACUACAACCUCACAAAACUAAGUUCUUUCUGUUUCCAAGUCAUUCCUGUUUUUCUAGCUUACAGUGAUUGAAAUGACUUUUCGGUACAUCACACAAAGCCUUGUCUUAGUUAUAUCAGGGCUCCAAACUUUCUAGGUACAGAAAUCCCCCCUCCCCCCCCACUGCCAAUGGACUCCUUGGAAGUUGGAUUAAGUUGGUUGACUCUGGCAUGGGAACAGGUACCAGUAUAUGCUAGAUAUUUUCUGUCUUUUUUUUACAGAAGAUGAAAGGUAUCACUGAUUAUUUUAAAGAAUGUUUAUAUCACUUUAAAUGAGUCAGUUUUUUCAUUAAAUUACCCAAAAGAGAGCCACUGCUGUGUAGUGGUUAAGACACCAGGCUAGAAACCAGGUGAUCAGGAGUUCUAGUUCCAUUCAAGGUACAAAGCCAGCUAGAUGACUUUAGGCCAAUGAUUGUCUUUCAGCCUGGGAAGGAGGUAAUGGCAAACCACUUCUGAAAUCUUGCCACAAAAACAGCAGAAAGUUGUCUAAAUGGUUGCCUGAAUCAA